AGGGUUCCCAGGGCUUUGAGCAACCGCCUCCUAAGCGGUAGGUCGCGCGUUCGAAUCGCGCCAACCCUG
rnacentral:tRNA from 1 species